AAGCCCCGCGUGUCUUACAUAGACUAAUGGCUCAUCCCUCACAAUUAGGGUUCCAAGAUGCAGCUUCACCUGUAAUAGAAGAACUCCUCCAUUUUCAUGACCACACUCUUAUGAUUGUUUUUUUAAUUAGCACCCUUGUUCUUUACAUUAUUGUGGCUAUAGUAACAACUAAAUUGACAAAUAAAUUUAUUCUUGAUUCCCAAGAAAUUGAAAUUAUUUGAACUCUACUACCAGCAAUAAUUCUUAUUCUUAUUGCACUUCCUUCCUUGCGAAUUCUUUAUUUAAUAGAUGAAAUUAAUGAUCCUCAUUUAACCAUUAAAGCUAUAGGGCACCAAUGAUAUUGAAGCUAUGAAUAUACUGAUUAUGAAGACCUUGGUUUUGAUUCCUAUAUAGUACCUACUCAAGAUUUAACCCCCGGCCAAUUCCGACUUCUAGAAACAGACCACCGUAUAGUUAUUCCUGUUGAUUCCCCUAUUCGUGUUCUUGUUUCUGCUGAUGAUGUACUUCACUCCUGAGCAGUCCCUAGCUUAGGAAUCAAAAUAGACGCAGUUCCUGGGCGUUUAAAUCAAACAGCCUUCAUUACCUCCCGACCCGGGGUUUUCUAUGGUCAAUGCUCAGAAAUUUGUGGGGCAAAUCAUAGCUUUAUACCUAUCGUAGUUGAAGCAGUACCUUUAGAACACUUCGAAAACUGAUCCUCAUUAAUGUUAGAAGACGCCU